rnacentral:rRNA from 1 species
CCUCAGUAACGGCGAGUGAAGCGGCAAUAGCUCAAAUUUGAAAUCUGGCCUCUCGGGGUCCGAGUUGUAAUUUGUAGAGGAUGUUUUGGGUACCGCCCCGGUUUAAAUUUCUUGGAACAGAAUGUCAGAGAGGGUGAGAAUCCCGUCUUGGACCGGUGGUAGGGCCUGUGUAAAACUCCUUCGACGAGUCGAGUUGUUUGGGAAUGCAGCUCAAAAUGGGUGGUAAAUUUCAUCUAAAGCUAAAUAUUGGCCAGAGACCGAUAGCGCACAAGUAGAGUGAUCGAAAGAUGAAAAGAACUUUGAAAAGAGAGUUAAACAGUAUGUGAAAUUGUUGAAAGGGAAGCGCUUGCAACCAGACUUGAGCGCGACGGUUCCCCUAGCCUUUUGGCUAGGUUACUCCGUCGUGUCCAGGCCAACAUCGGUUCUGAGGGUCGUUUAAAGGCCCUGGGAAUGUAUCUACCCCCGGGUAGACUUAUAGACCAGGGCGUCAUGCGGCCUCUCGGGACCGAGGAACGCGCUUCGGCUCGGAUGUUGGCGUAAUGGUUGCCAGCGACCCGUCUUGAAACACGGACCAAGGAGUCUAACAUCUAUGCGAGUGUUUGGGUGUCAAACCCGGAACGCGAAAUGAAAGUGAACGGAGGUGGGAAGCUUCGGCUGCACCAUCGACCGAUCCUGAAGUUUACGGAUGGAUUUGAGUAAGAGCAUAGCUGUUGGGACCCGAAAGAUGGUGAACUAUGCCUGAAUAGGGUGAAGCCAGAGGAAACUCUGGUGGAGGCUCGCAGCGGUUCUGACGUGCAAAUCGAUCGUCAAAUUUGGGUAUAGGGGGCGAAAGACUAAUCGAACCAUUAAAUGUUACCGGUGGUUAAGUGUAACCGUGAAAGUGGUUGCAAGUGCCUAGUUCUGGCGCGACACUGUCAAAUUUGCGGGGACUCCCUAAAGCUUCGACGACCGCCCAGUCUAUGAAAGUAGGCUGGAGCACCAGGUUAAUGACCUCGGGUAUGGUAAAACUGUCGAAGAUGUUAACAAUGGGUAAUCUGCAGCCAAGUCCUAACGGCCCCCCAAGGCCUACGGAUGCAGUUCACAGACUAAAUGGCAGUGGGCUCAAUAGGUGGGCUUAAGAUAUAGUCGGUCCCCCAGGGAAACCUGGGCGCUUACGCUAAACCUAGGGUAGAGACUCUACUUCACGUAGUUACCCUGGACCUGAACGGAGCGGGCACUCUCGGGUGUCGGAAUAAACGCUGGUAGCUGGUUCCUGCCGAAGUUUCCCUCAGGAUAGCAGUAACGUUUUCAGUUUUAUGAGGUAAAGCGAAUGAUUAGAGGCCUUGGGGUUGAAACAACCUUAACCUAUUCUCAAACUUUAAAUAUGUAAGAAGUCCUUGUUACUUAAUUGAACGUGGACAUUCGAAUGUAUCGUUACUAGUGGGCCAUUUUUGGUAAGCAGAACUGGCGAUGCGGGAUGAACCGAACGUGAGGUUAAGGUGCCGGAAUGCACGCUCAUCAGACACCACAAAAGGUGUCAAUGCAUCUAGACAGCCGGACGGUGGCCAUGGAAGUCGGAAUCCGCUUAGGAGUGUGUAACAACUCACCGGCCGAAUGCAUUGGCCCUGAAAAUGGAUGGCGCUUAAGCGUGCUACCUAUACCUCGCCGUUAGGGUUGACAUGAUGCCCUAACGAGUAGGCAGGCGUGGAGGUCCGUGACGAAGC